rnacentral:lncRNA from 1 species
CUCUGCUCUCUCUCUCUCUCUCUCUCUCUCUCUCUCUUCUCUCUCUCCUCUCUCUCUCUGUGUCUGUGGCCAGGGAGAUCGAGGGACAGACGGACAGUCUGGCUUCCCUGGUCUGCAGGGUCCUCCUGGUAUCCCCGGACUUAUGGGAAUGAAAGGAGAUAAAGGAUCCCUGGAACACCUGGUUUACUGUGUUGUGUGUGUGUGUGUGUGUGGUUGUGUGGUGCGAUAGGAGGUA